CAAAAGUGCUGGGAUUACAGGUGUGAGCCACCGCACCUGACCUGCUUGUUCAUUUUCUUAAAAGUGGAUGAUGACAGGUUCUUACUCUGUCACCCAGGCUGAAGUGCAAUGGAUCUAUCUCGGCUCACUGCAGCCUUGACCUCCCAGGCUCAGGUGAUCAUUCCACCUCAGCCUCCUGAGUAGUUGGGACUACAGGCACAUGGCACCACGUCCAGCUAGUUUUUGUAUUUUUUUUGUAGAGACGAGGUUUCACCAUGUUGCCCCGGCUGGGCUUGAACUCCUGGCCUCAAGCGAUCCACUCGCCUUGGCCUCCCAAAGUGCUAGAAUUACAGGCAUGAGGUACUGAGCCUGGCUUGACUUAUAAUUCUGAUGAAAAUGUUCAAUGUCAACUUAAGAAUGGGCAAGGGAGCACAUGGGCUUUUGGAAUUCUUUUUUUUUUUUUUUUUUUUGAGAUGGAGUCUUGCUCUGUCACCCAGGCUGGAGUGCAGUGGCAUGAUCUCGGCUCACUGCAACCUCCGCCUCCCGGGUUCAAGCGAUUCUCCUGCCCCAGCCUCCCAAGUAGCUGAGAUUACAGGCAUGCACCAACACGCCCAGCUAAUUUUGUAUUUUUAGUAGAGAUGUGGUUUCACCGUGUUGGUCAGGCUGGCCUCGAACUUCUGACCUCAAGUGAUCUACCCACCUCGGCCUCCCAAAGUGCUGGGAUUACAGGUGUGAGCCACCGCGCCCGGCCACUUUUGAAAUUCUUUCAGGAGAUUCCCGAGUGAAAUGUCUGAAGACUGCUGCCUUGGGAACAGGAGCCAUGGGACACUUGCUGCCUCCGGCUGCCGGCGGGUAACUCGGGCCUGGAUGGACUUCCCUGCCAGCUUGUUCCCCAAAUUGCCGCGCGGGCCCAGAAAAGAGAUGAGAGCAUAAACCCCUAGGGGGCGCAGUCCCCAGGAUCCCUGUCUUCAUGGAGUGGGGCUCAUGGGGUCAGGGCUUGGGUCAACUCCACUCCAUAGCACGAAAUGACUUCCUGGAGUCAUGUGCGUGGGGGAGGCUUAGCCCCUGAAGGAGAGCCACCUCUCUUCAGUGACUGAUUGACUGUGCAUGUGAAAUAUUUUAUUUUUUCUAUUUACUCUCACAGAUUUGGGUUUUCCCUCCUCUCAUCCUUCUCUCCCAGCCACACUCAGGCCUG
rnacentral:lncRNA from 1 species